GGGACGAAGAGGGAGCACAGCUCCUUCACCAGCUCAGGGGCAAGGUCAGCACAGGACCGGUGGCUCAACAAACCCAGGAUACAGCUCAGUACUGGAGAAAGCAGAAGGACUUCAGCCCAUGCAGGCAGGAGCAGAGGUACAAAUGAUGGCUGAUAACAACCUGCUAUGAGCCACAGAGCCCAUGUCUGCAGCAAGAGACAUCCCACCUGCCAAAGCACUGGAGUCUGACCCUAAACACAUUUCUUCUCUCUCAUUCUUAUGGUUCUAACUGGAGCAAUGAGAAAAAUGUCUGGUAGAGAGUGGUCCAGUCACUAGGCACUGGUGUGGAAAAUGACUUUUCUACACCAAACAUCCCAAAGGACUCUUUCUGCAGGUUCUUCAGGUACAGGCAGUAGGUAAAUUUUAGGCUCUGGACAGAGCUGCUUGUGAUGAUGUUGCUCAAGGUUGAGCAGGGCAGCUGUAGCAGAGUAUGAAGCAAACAGAAGCUUUUUAAUAAUAAAUCUGAGCUCAAACAGUGGGUCAGAGCAGAGCACACCUCUAGGAAAUCAGCUAGGAAGGGAGCUACUUAUCUUUAAUUAUAUAAAUUGUAUUGCCAACCAGCCUACAUCUCCCCACCAUCUCUGUGCUCAGUAUUACUCAUGACAUUGCGAAGAUGAAGCCUGAGCCACCCAAACCUGCUGCGGCCCCACAGUCGUCCCUGUACCUGUAGUCACCAGAUCCUCUUGGCACACUGGCAUGCAGUGGGGUGCUCACCUUGUAAUGGAGGUAUGUCCCCAUUACAGAUGUUGAUCCAGGUGUUUUCAGAAGGUUCUGGAUAAAACAGCAAGGCUGGGCCUUGUUUUUCAGGGAUUGGUCAGGUUUAAAUCUAUGGUGAAACCUUCCCAUCACCAUUCCUGGAGUGAGUGGAAGCUCACAGGUUACUUGGAUGCUGAGGGGAGUGGCUGAUAUCUCCAAAACAGAGUCUCAGCUCCUCAACAUGCUCCAGUGGUAGCUGACACAAAAAAUUGCAAGUGAGAUCUCUGGACAAAACAGUGCAAUAUUAGAAAUAAAGAAAACAGCAAAAGCUUCAGGAUAUGUGAUUUUCCUCCUCUGUUCUAACCUCUUCCCUUUCCCAUGCUGCUAUGCCAAGGUGAAUUCAGGAUUUUCCUUCCUUGCCCAUGCAGAGGCAGAGCACACUUUGAGCUCAGCUUGAAUUCAGGCUAGAAUAAGGACAGGAUAAAAUCCAUAGGAAGAACUGCACAAGCUGAUAGUUUUCAUUACCGAUGCAAGUAUUUAAUAUCACCAAUGUAUAUCUUUGCAAGAGUCACCCAGCACACUUCAAUGAGACCUCACCUAUUCCCACCAGCAUGGGACCUUAUGCCUCUGGGCAUUCAUUUACCAUAUGUCUAAUUAUUUAAUAUGUGUUUUAGCUAUGUGAAAUGACUUCAUUAAUGCACCCAUUUUCUUUUUCCAAGUGAAGAGCUUACAAUGAGAUUGAAGAUUCCUUCAGCAUUACAUCCCUCUGGGAUGCAGGAGACCUGCAAAAAAAAAAAAAAAAGCAUUAUACUAGGAUACCUGCUGCUCAGCAUCUGCAAAGAGGCUGUUGCCACAGCUCUACCCUGGAUCUAUCAGCAGUGAAAACCCUCAUUAACAAGGUGGAAAUUUACUCAGCCUCUCCACCUUCCAAAGGCAUCUCAAAGCUUGAUGAGGACUGAGGAAGCAGAAAGACAUGUAUAACAGCAAAAAAUUCAAUUUUUUUCCUGCACAAAACCCCCUAAAAUUUCACAUCUCAGCCCUGAGUGUUGCGGCACUCAAAGACAAGCACAGCAAAACUCUCAACUUCGUGUUUGCUGAGAAGCUUUUUCAUCCUCUCCAGCAAAGUGGGCCCCUCUACAUGUCUGGAGCACAAGAGGCAGGUUGGGUGGGGGUCCCCAUUCCCCAACAGAUUCCCUGGUGAAUCCCAGAUCGCUAGAUGGCGGCAGUGCCUUGUGUCCAGGCAUCCUGGAGGCGAUGCACAUCCCUUUCCCUGAUCCCAUCCAGGCUUUUCCACGCUCCCACCGGUCUCUCCACCCUCCACCCAGCUAUCCCGACAAAAGCCAGGAAACACAUCUCCGAAGUUUUGGAGCUGAAAAAAAAAGAAGCACGGGCGGUGUCCCGCGGCAGGAGGGUUGGAUACAAAGCUGAUGCAGAAGCUCAUUGGGAUGGGAAAGAGGUUCUUCUUGUUCACCCAUCUUCUCCCAAAAAAAUCCCAUCCUGGGAUUUUAUCACCUUCUUUUCAGCAGGAUCCCUCCUAUCCCCAGUGAGACAUUCAGAAAAGGGCACACAAGGAAGGAUCCCAACUUUCGUCGAGGUCCAAAAAGCACCAAAUUUAACAAAAAAGCAUCGCAUCACCCUGAUCAGCACAAAAAUGUCCCCAUAUCUCCCAGUCCUGUCUCUGCUCACAAGCUGUCUGAAAGCUGCACACAAACAAAAGCUUUCAGACAUGUAAGUGACCCAAACAACACCAGGCAGGUCCAGAAAGGCAGUGACUAGGAUAUCUGAGAUUUUGCAAUGCCAUUUUCUACCCUGUACAGAGCUCCUCCCAGUGAGAAGUGUGUGUGACAUUGGGUGAGAAAAAUUAUAGUAGUUUAUAACUGGAGGUUGUUGAAGUUACGUGUUCCCUGUCCUUUCAUGUAAAGAACUGUGAACAUUCACAGAGAAAACAGGGAGAUUCCAGGUAAAAACUGCAAGGUUCUGGACAGAAAUCAAAGUAUUUCAGUUCUGCCUUCUCAGAGGCAGAUCCACACCUUAGUCAGGCUCAGAAUCUACACCAGGAAGGAGGCUAAGGAAGUUUGCAGAGUGUCUGCAGCUGCACAGGCAAACAUACUAUUAUUUUUUUGAGCCUCAUGUCAAGGAGAUAUAAGACAGAAAUGUAUGACUGUAAAUAAAUUAAACUGUACAAAGCUGCAUCUUUGUUACAGCAAAAGUGUCUUUCCCCCACUUUCUAAAUCUGAUCUAAACUGCCAGUAUCUCAGCUGACGUGAGGCGGGACUUCCACAUGGAUUAUCUCCUCUCAUCUGUAAAUGUGCACAUACAGACUUUUCUACCUCUGGUGAUUUUGAAGGGCAAGGAGCUGCCAACACAUCAGUUCUUUCCCCACACCUGGGUGCAACGCUCUUUCCUCAGAGCAAGGUGUUUCACAACCAGGGCAAGGACACUGCUGUGGUUUGGGUCUUGUAGGCCAAAGUGCAGGACCCACUCAUAAAGGCAGAGCCAAAAGGAAUUGUGCAGUCCUGACUUCCCUGGUGGGAUACUGGAGAAGCUGUUACCUGGAGAAGGUUGUGCAAUCUGGUUCUACUAAGCUGAAGUUUACAUUAUACCCCUGAGCCACAUUUUUUUUCAAAAUCUGCCAUCCCAUAGCAUAUGGGCUCUAUGACCCCCAGUUAGGGACUGGACAAGGAAGAUGCUUUAUCAGCUUCUCCAGGUGACUUUGGGAAAGUCAAGGCUCCAUAACGUGCAAAAUGGGGAUGCCUGUGCUCAGGGAGGUACUUUGACUAUAAAAACAUGACAGGACUAAGUGGGACAUGGAUGGUGGUGAUACCUUAAGUUUUAACUUUCAUAUUUUCCAGAUUCUGUACUGCAUUAGUAUAUAACUCUGAACUCCAAAUAAAGUGUUAGCAAGUUCUCUUCACAGUGUAGUUAACAACACAAUCCUUUUCCUGCCUAAGAACCAAAGACACUGUUGUAACUUUGGGCCAAAAAAGUCUAAACAACAGCAAAUUGAGGAAAGCAGUCUGGGAGGAUGGGACUUCAUAACCUGAAGCUGCAAUUGGACAAUUAACCCCUAUAUGUAAAUGGACUAAAAUAUAUAAAAGUGUGAAAUCUCAUGACUUGGGGUCCAUCUUGCAUCCAUCUUAGGUAGGGACACAGCCAGGCUCUUGUACUGCCCAAGGUGUAUCCUUUGAAGGCCUUUUAAUAAAUACUCAC